rnacentral:rRNA from 1 species
UACAGAGGGGGCAAGCGUUGUUCGGAAUUACUGGGCGUAAAGGGCGCGUAGGCGGCCUUCUAAGUCGAACGUGAAAUCCCCGGGCUCAACCCGGGAACUGCGUCCGAUACUGGAAGGCUUGAAUCCGGGAGAGGGAUGCGGAAUUCCAGGUGUAGCGGUGAAAUGCGUAGAUAUCUGGAGGAACACCGUGGCGGAGGAGGCGAUCCUGGACCGGUAUUGACGCUGAGGCGCGAAAAGCCGGAGGCAAGCAAGGG